rnacentral:rRNA from 1 species
CCUACGGGGGGCUGCAGUGGGGAAUAUUGGACAAUGGGCGAAAGCCUUAUCCAGCCAUGCCGCGUGUGUGAAGAAGGCCUUCGGGUUGUAAAGCACUUUCAGUGGGGAAGAAAGCCUUGGGGCUAAUACCCUCGAGGAAGGACAUCACCCACAGAAGAAGCACCGGCUAACUCCGUGCCAGCAGCCGCGGUAAUACGGAGGGUGCGAGCGUUAAUCGGAAUUACUGGGCGUAAAGCGCGCGUAGGCGGUCUGAUAAGCCGGUUGUGAAAGCCCCGGGCUCAACCUGGGAACGGCAUCCGGAACUGUCAGGCUAGAGUGCAGGAGAGGAAGGUAGAAUUCCCGGUGUAGCGGUGAAAUGCGUAGAGAUCGGGAGGAAUACCAGUGGCGAAGGCGGCCUUCUGGACUGACACUGACGCUGAGGUGCGAAAGCGUGGGUAGCAAACAGGAUUAGAUACCCCGGUAGUC